GAAUAUUGGACAAUGGGCGCAAGCCUGAUCCAGCCAUACCGCGUGGGUGAAGAAGGCCUUCGGGUUGUAAACUGCUUUUGUACGGAACGAAAAGUCUCGGGAUAAUACCCUGGGACCAUGACGGUACCGUAAGAAUAAGCACCGGCUAACUACGUUCCAGCAGCCGCGGUAAUACGUAGGGUGCAAGCGUUAACCGGAAUUACUGGGCGGAAAGCGUGCGCAGGCGGUUUUGUAAGACAGAGGUGAAAUCCCCGGGCUCAACCUGGGAACUGCCUUUGUGACUGCAAGGCUAGAGUACGGCAGAGGGGGGUGGAAUUCCGCGUGUAGCAGUGAAAUGCGUAGAUAUGCGGAGGAACACCGAUGGCGAGGGCAACCCCCUGGGCCUGUACUGACGCUCAUGCACGAAAGCGUGGGGAGCAAACAG
rnacentral:rRNA from 1 species